GAUGAUACCACUUUGGAUGAGAAUUCUUUGAUGCAUGAGGAAGAAGCCAAACAUGAAGUAGCCUUAAUGCAUCAUGAAAAAGCAAACCAGAAAAAA